UUCCGGUUGAUCCUGCCGGACCCCACUGCUAUCGAGAUGGGACUAAGGUAUGCUAGUCGAACGACCAGAACUAUGUCUGGGAGUGGCACACUGCUCAGUAACACGUAGCUAACCUACCCUUAGGACGUGGAUACCCCCGAGAAAUUGGGGUUAAUCCGCGAUAGAUGUAAUGUCCUGGAAUGGUAUUACGUCUAAAGGUAUUUCAUACAUGUUUGAAAUAUGCCUAAGGAUGGGGCUGCGGCCGAUCAGGCUGUUGGUGAGGUAAUGGCUCACCAAACCUUUGACCGGUACGGGCCAUGAGAGUGGUAGCCCGGAGAUGGACACUGAGACAAGGGUCCAGGCCCUAAGGGGCGCAGCAACCGCGAAACCUCCACAAUGCACUCACGUGCGAUGGGGCUAUCUCGAGUGCCACCUGAUGAAGGUGGCUUUUCCUUGGUCUUCAAAGCCUUGGGAAUAAGAGGGGGGCAAGACUGGUGUCAGCCGCCGCGGUAACACCAGCCCCUCGAGUGGUGGGGAUGAUUAUUUGGCCUAAAGCGUCCGUAGCCGGCCGUGAAAGUCUUCCGUUAAAUCCAGCGUCUCAAGCGUUGGACCGCGGGAGAUACUACAUGGCUAGAGAGUGGGAGAGGUCAGCGGUAUUCUGGGGGUAGGGGCGAAAUCCUUUGAUCCCCGGAGGACCACCAGUGGCGAAGGCUGCUGACUAGAACACGUCUGACGGUCAGGGACGAAAGCUGGGGUAGCGAACCGGAUUAGAUACCCGGGUAGUCCCAGCCGUAAACGAUGCAUGCUAGGUGUUGGGUUGGCCACGAGCCACCCCAGUGCCGCAGGGAAGCCGUUAAGCAUGCCGCCUGGGAAGUACGAUCGCAAGAUCGAAACUUAAAGGAAUUGGCGGGGGAGCACCACCAGGCGUGAAGCCUGCGGUUUAAUUGGAGUCAACGCCGGG
rnacentral:rRNA from 1 species